rnacentral:rRNA from 1 species
AUGAACGCUGGCGGCGUGCCUAAUACAUGCAAGUCGAGCGAACAGACGAGGAGCUUGCUCCUCUGACGUUAGCGGCGGACGGGUGAGUAACACGUGGAUAACCUACCUAUAAGACUGGGAUAACUUCGGGAAACCGGAGCUAAUACCGGAUAAUAUAUUGAACCGCAUGGUUCAAUAGUGAAAGACGGUUUUGCUGUCACUUAUAGAUGGAUCCGCGCCGCAUUAGCUAGUUGGUAAGGUAACGGCUUACCAAGGCGACGAUGCGUAGCCGACCUGAGAGGGUGAUCGGCCACACUGGAACUGAGACACGGUCCAGACUCCUACGGGAGGCAGCAGUAGGGAAUCUUCCGCAAUGGGCGAAAGCCUGACGGAGCAACGCCGCGUGAGUGAUGAAGGUCUUCGGAUCGUAAAACUCUGUUAUAGGGAAGAACAAAUGUGUAAGUAACUAUGCACGUCUUGACGGUACCUAAUCAGAAAGCCACGGCUAACUACGUG